CUGGAAUGGUGGUAGAAGGAUCUCUUCACCCCUAGACUACCACGGCAGAUUGGAACCCAGGAAUCCGCAGAGAAAACAUAAGAUUUCUAUCUAGAAAAAGGGAGCAAAAGAGAAAGGAAGGGAGUGGAUAGGGCAGGACUGUGUACUUCAGGGGCCUGCAGUCUCUGCACCAGGACACCAGGAGACCUGACUCAGAGAAGAGACUAGAAACCAACAGAAAGAAACUAAACAGCUGUCUGGUACAUAUACAGAUACACACUUGUACAUGUGUAUCCCAAUUUAAAGCUAUACAGAAAAUUAACUGAGGAACGGACUAUGGGGUCGUUGAUCUUCCUUCUCAUCAAACUUG
rnacentral:lncRNA from 1 species